CACAUCUUCCCUGCUCCACUCUGGCAGCAUAUCAUCUUUUUCUUACCUCUGACCUGAUUUCACCUGUAGGCUGUAACUUGGUCCUGCUGGGCACAGUGUGUUUCCAGUGUGAGACUCUCGCCCAUUGAAUACAUUCUUCCUGGCAGCUGAAAACAGCAUCUAACAGCAACUUCAAACCAGACAUUAUGCAGGGCAAAACUACAUUUUCAAUGCUCCCAAAACGUCGUUUUAUAAAUAUGUAAAAACAUUUACAUUGAGCUGGGAGAGGAGACAGAACUGGUGUCUUUUAUGUACAUCGUAAAGAUCUAUUUUCCCUUUGUAAAAGUAAAAAUUGAUGUUGGGGUACAGGCACCAUUAUGCUCUCGAAUUGGUGCUUCAAAAUGUGUAUAGUUUCUUAUUGUUAAAGCUAAAAAUGUCUUCCCUGUUGCAAAGGAACAACUAUAUUUCAGUUUUUCCCCCCAAAUAUUUUAUAGAUUAUUAACAACUUUGGAAACAUUUGUGGCAAUCUAAUUAUAUAUGCAAGUAUAACUAUACACGUAGGAAUAGGUUUAUUACCAGCUCUUUUUAUGAACAUUCGACUCCAUCUUUUUUCCUUAAUGGUUUGUAGUUCUUCUGUAUUGAAUUUAAUUAACUAUCUUUAUUCCUCUGCCUCACUUUACCUAAACACUUGUUACUAUUUAUCCCUUUACUGGUUCAACAAUAUACUUAGCUUUCCAAAGCCUUUGUUUCCAUUCAAGCUGCUUCCUUCCUGCUCUUAUGGAUUUCCCAGAGUCUCCUAAUUAGUUCUAUACAGAUAAUUUCUAGUUUCUCUCAAAAUCCAUUAGUAUUUUCUUUUGUUAAAUUAAGUCAAGGGACUUGGAAGAAUAGCAAUUAAUUAUUGUUGUCUAUGGGGCUUGUUAGCAUUCAUGAAUGAGGGCAUGAAAAUAAUUGUCUCUAUCUGCCCCUUGCCCAUUAUUCUGUUUAGGCCAAAUUACAAUUUCACAAUUACAGAUCGGAACCAAGUGAUAUGGCUUAUCUGUUGGGGGGAAAGUUAGGGAAAGGCAUACGACUUUGGAAACCAAAAACCACAUUUUUCUUUCUAUUUUUUUAGCUGGGUAAUAGAAAAUUUUAGUCUCACAGAUAAGACUCCUCGGGCUGUCACUUGCUAAUUUGAGUUGCGAGUUUUCUGUUAUUACAAUGAUGGUGCUCCAUGUCUUCGAUCUGAUGCCUUUUCAGUCAUUUUCACAACUAACAGAGCCCUGGGGAUUGACUUUCUGCUUCCUCUUGCUCCCCCAUCACUCCUGCUUCUAGUGUUUGAUUAUGUCAAAGUUUACUUAGCCUCAAAGCAACACGAAUUUUUCCCUAGCACUAUUUACUUCAUAUUGGGCCUGCCUAAGUUCAUAAAAGCAAUUCUCUAUUAUUCUGUGGGUGUUUUUCUCCUGUGACCAUGUAUGUAAAGGCAUAUUAUAUACUAAGUUAUGUAUUCUAUAUUCUGGGAGCAUAAUCUUUUCACUUAGGAACUGUCUAUGUAUGUUGUUUCACACUGAAGGUUGCGUGGUUUUGGUUACUGGAGGUGGUGGGCUUGGGGGCAGGUUCUGGAUAUUGUAGUGUCUUUGUACAUGAGAGGUUGGUACAAUGGCUGCCUUUGUCAUUCCCUGUCAAGUUCUGCCAAUGCACAGAAUUGAGGAGAUAGGUCAGAGAUUAAUGGCUGGGAGGCAUAUGGGAAGAACAUUUAUUAAACUGUAGGAAUUUAUGACCUUUCAGUUUUUAGCUCAUGAGCAGAGCAAAGGAUCAAGUUGUUUGACACACUGAGUCUUCCGCUGCACUAGAAACCUUUCCUGGCUUAGUAUUUAGAAGCCAGGAGAAGUUCAACCCAACCUGAAAGAAACAAAAGAUAAAUGUCAACACAUAACUUCACUUAAGAAGAACAUACGUUAACUGUUACAAGUGUUACUUACUUACAGCUAGUCCUGCUGAUAAGAUUUCACUUACAUACUUAUAGGAUGCUUUACAUUGAAAUUAUCUUCUAAAACAAGUUUAGAAUAUUUAAUUUUACCAGAAAACUCAAUAAAGGAUAAAAUUAUUUCUUCAGAUCAAAAACGAUGUGCGAUGACUUCGGCCACCUUAUCUUUAGGAGACAAAUUGCAUUAUACAUGUUUAACUCGUGCCAAUAAAUAACCAAAAGCAGUUUAUUUGCUGCUGUCAUGACCACCCACGUUCAGCACAGAUGUUCGGCAAAAGAUUUAGGAACUAUUUAGAAGCUUUCAUUAGCUCAGAUAAAUUAGUAGUGUAUUUAUUGGCAAUAGUAAACUAUGCAAGUUCAUAUUUCCUUUCUUGCUCAUUUUACAGGGGCCUCCUAAACACCAUCAGCUUAUCCCUCAGGAAGUUCUUGCAUAUGUCGGUAAGCCCGAAGCCUGCCAUUUUAAGGGUUCUGAUCACUGAACUGAUCAUCUGAGCUGACUCAGUUAGACCCCGGCCUCCCCACGACCUUUAUCUAAUUUGUCUCUGCUUGCCUCUGAAGCACUUUGUCUGUUCUGUUUGUAUCCAAAUGGGUUUCUGCAAAAGAUGUGGUAUGUUAUGGGCUAUCUUUCCCCCAGAGCUUCCAGCAGUCUAUUCUCUAUAUGGAACUCAGAAGAUAUAUACAGGAGGGAAUUAGAAAGCAUUACUCUAUUCACAAUAGAUUUUUAAAUUAAUGCAGAUCCAGUUAUCACAUAUGUAUGCCUUCUUUUUCAUUAGGCCUGAUUCAAUUCUUUCAGGAACCCAAUAGACUGGUACUAGGCAAGUCAAGACACCAAAUACUCAAGAGAUACAGAACAAUUCAACUACAUGGAGAACUUGUUAACACUUGAUCCAUAGAUAAAUAAUAUGCAAAACAAAACAAAAACAUACAAAAAACCCUUAGGCUGUUAGUUAUCAUAUCUAGCUAGGGGUCAAUUUGGGAGAAGUAAAUCAUAGAGUCUAACUUGUAUUCACCAGAACUACUAGAAGAAAGGCUUUAUACAAUACAUUGCUACUGGACAUGCAUCUUGACUAUGGAGACCACCAAAGCCAAGUUAAGUUUGAACAGUCCUAUUAGCAAUAUCAGCAAAAGGAAGCUGUGAUCAAGAACUAUGAGAAAGACAGUAAGUUUUGUUAACUUUUUAUAAGACUGAUGAAAACUGUAGGCACUUAGAGGCAGACAAACAGGUUCAAGUGAGCUGUGCCUAGCCAUUCAGGUGUAAGUGAAAUGGGUCUGAGUUUGGCAGUGACGACGAGAGGAAGAGGUCACUGAAGACAUUGUGAACAUUUACUAUUGGUGACAGCUACUUGCUCAUCACAGGGAGGAGGGUGGAUUUGAAUUGUGUGGUACUUGGGUAAAUAUAAGUAAGAGGGCGUAAAUGCUACAGAACAGGCUAAAGUGGAAGCGUUCCAGGUAUAGAGGAUGCUAUAAUUUGAGCUUCUAUCCUCCAAAGGCAUGUUGCAAUUUUAUUGCUAUUGUAACAGUAUUCAAAUGAAACCCAGAGAAAUGAUUAGUAGGGCUCAGUCUCAUAGGUGGGAUUGGCAGUGUUAUGAAACGGUGAGUUCAGAUCUCUCUUUAUUUUGCUUUCUAUUUUCUGCCAAAAGAUGACGUAGUCACAAGGACCAUCUCAGAUUCAAGGCUCUUGACAGAUGUGGACCCCUUGGUCUUGGUCUUCCAAGACUGUAGGGCUUACCAUUGGCCAACAAGUUUUUGCUCACUGUAAACUCUCUACUCUCGGAUGUCGUGGUACCUUAAUCAAAGCUAGGGUGGAGCCAGGAAGUUCUUUCCUUGCAAUCAUGAGAUCCUGUCUUUGACCCCAAGAUGCUCCAUAGAGAAACAGGCAUGGAAGUGUGCUUACAAUCCCAGAAAUGGGGAGAUUAGUUAGCACACUUGAGGAACCCAAGGCCAUUGAGAAAGUCUGCCUCAAACAAACAAACAAAAGCAAAGACACACUCAAGGUUGUGCUAUCGUCUGAACGUACAUACAUACAUGUUCUUAACACAUACGACUAUGGCAGUAAUUAAAGAAAGUCCUCUUACUGGAAGUCAAGAUAAUGUGUAAGUUUUAUGAUCCCUAAAAGUUGGCACUUGGAGACUAGAAAGUGAAGGGGCAAAGUAAGUCAGGACUGUUGGCAAACACUGAAGACAUCCCUAUGUCUCUGCGAAGCAUUGAAAUAGAUAUAGAUGAAAAUGAGAACACUGAACACUUGAAAAUAGUACACUCUGGGGUAAGGUCAUUAAUGAAAGCCCAACCAGCACACUUGAAUUAGAUAGUUGACUGGAGCAUCAACAGGCAGGAAAUAUUCAACAUGAUCCUUACAAACAAAAGAACUUUCACACUGGGAAGGUUAAGUAGUUUGUGGGUCCAGGAGUAAACUGAUGGUGAAUGACCCAGAGGUUAACAUUAGCAGGAAAAGGCACAUGUCUAAAGAUGGAGGGCCAUGAGAGAUGCAACGUGGCCAGAGGCAGCUGAAGCCAGAGAGUGAGAGAGCACCAUCUGUAAGUUGGGAGAAUACUAAUGGUGCCCCAGAGGGAAGGGAGCUAAAAGGAGCAACACCUUGACCUUGUUCCUCAGCCUUUCCUCCAAUCUUCCAUCACAGUUUCCCAAGGGCCAAGCCUAUCUCCCAUCUAGAGGGCCAGGGGGCCUGAGAAAUGCCCUUUCUUUCUGCCUGGAGCUGAGGAAAGGGAGGGUUGGAGCCCAUUUACUCAUGUAAAAGAAAACGGCCUAUAAGGUCAGCCUGCCAUGUGUUACCUAAUAUGGAGUACAGUAUUUUAAGGGCUGGGGAGCUGUCUCCUGGGAACUUUUGGAAGAUAAACAGAUAAAAUGUUGAAUAUUUUUCCUCCUCUGUAACUGUAGUCUAGGGGUGUGGGGGAUGCAACUUUCAAAGGCUAUUAAAAGCUGUGAGUUUAAUGGUCAUCUAAAAAUAGCAGAACAUAAGUUUUCAGCUGCUAAAGAGCCUUACUCCUCUUCUGUCCCUGUAUGUUGUGGACAUCACCAUGUGCUGCCUCUCUGGACAUCAGAAACAGUGCGUCUGCUUAAAGAGUGGCUCAGCCAUAGCCAGCAGAGCUCUGAAGGCUUCUGGGACUUGCAGGUUAGCUUCACAAAGAUCGGGGCUAACAAGUAACCAGCCGAACUCCAUUUUGUAUUUUGAAAGUGAUUGAUGACCUCCUGGCCGAAAGAUUCAUAGUUUGGAUGCUUUGCCUUAGGAUUUCUGUGAGAUGGUGGAAAGUCACUGACUGGCAGUAUUCCUGUUUACUUAUACAGAAAUGAAGAACAGAGCUCAAAGACAGAGCCGGGAGAUACAAAGCGGAAUCAUGCCAUCACCCUAAAGAAAUGCAACAAUGUAUUCUAUUCCUUGCUUCUGCUAUUAGGUCUGGCUCACAUGAAUCCAGUCUACAAAGCCUUCUGUUGCUCUCCUCGGUCAGUGGGGUGAACGGAUGAACUCCCCUGCUGCUAUCAGUACCUCUUCCAUUGGAGCAACUUCCUGCCUCGCCCCAUUCUUGAUGGCGGCCCUGUGAGAAGGCACACAUGUGGAAACUGAGUUGCAGCCGGAUACUCCUUGCAGCAGCUUUCCUUUGUGACCUGCACAGAGCUGUUGUUUAGAAAUUAUGUGCAAAAGUAAAAGGAAUAGGGGGAAUUUUUUUUUUUUUUGAGAAAUAUAAGGUCUUCAGUUCCUUCCGUCUCUGAUCGCAUUCCUUGGUGCAGCUGUAUUCUCCCUGGAGUCUCUCUUCCAGGACUCUCAUUAAACAAUGCCCAAGCAAGCCUUGCAUUGUGGAGGCCUUUCUUGGAAGCAGAUCCUACGUGGGAAACAUUUUCACCAUUCAUUUUGACAUUAACUAAAAGCAAGAGAGUUUUAAAAUUAAAGCUAACCUACUAUAGCUGUUGGAAUAACUCUUUAAUUGGCCAUUAAGCACGUGCAUGGGAAUAGAAUCUCUCCAAAGUGCACUGAGAAUUAUGUCACCUGACAUUGCUCGCUUUCCCCCACCUAACCACCAAGGGAAUUGAAUGAGUCAAAAGGAAUGAGUCGACUUCCCAGCAUCCUUUUCUCUAUACUGAAUGCCCUGCUGCUACUCCAGAAGUGUGACACCCAAAAGCUCAUGGCACAUACACAUAGGAGCAAAAUGUUGCCUUUCCUUUUCCCAUUUAUAGAUGCUGUGCAAGCUGGCAAUGUGAAUCCCGGGGUGAAUAUUGUGAUUUACUUGUUUUUAUUUGCAUGUUAUAAUAACGUCAAUAGAAAGUGAUCACAGAUGACGUUUUUAUUCAAUGGGCAGCAAACACUCUCCCGUGUUUAUCACUUGGCAUUGGGUUUGUGGAGACUGUUUGAGUACAUACUAAAUAAUGUAAUGAGAACCGCCCCAUGGGGAGGAGCAGAGAGAAAUGCAGAACCCAACCUUUUAGAUUUGUAUUCCCAUGACAGUGUGGCUAUGCUAUAGGCUUUAAGCAUUUGGCCAAUCCAUUCAUAUUUUUUUAAAAGACUCUAAGUUGUAAAUUCUCAUUUCAGUUACAGCUAGUAAAAAGGAAACUAGCUUAAGAGUUAUUAAUGUGUAAAUCUGGUAAUCUAGAAAGUCAAGUGAUCUCAGGUUAGAGUUCUGGAUUUGUACAAUCUAAUUUUGACCAAAAUGACACAAUCUAUCAGCAGCUCCGUGUAAAUCAACA
rnacentral:sRNA from 1 species